GUAUGUAAGAGUGUUUCAGUAGUGUAUGUAAGAGUGUUUCAGUAGUGUUUAUAAGAGCGUUUCAGUAGUGUUUAUAAGAGUGUUUCAGUAGUGUUUAUAAGAGUGUUUCAGUAGUGUAUGUAAGAGCAUUUCAGUAGUGUUUAUAAGAGUGUUUCCGUAGUGUAUGUAAGAGUGUUUCAGUAGUGUUUAUAAGAGUGUUUCAGUAGUGUAUGUAAGAGCAUUUCAGUAGUUUAUAAGAGUGUUUCAGUAGUGUUUAUAAGAGUGUUUCAGUAGUGUGUAUAAAAGAAAAAGAUUUCAGUUGUUUAUGUGAGCGCAUUUCAGUUGUGUAUGUAAGAGCAUUUCAGUAGUGUUUAUAAGAGUGUUUCAGUAGUGUGUAUAAAAGAAAAAGAUUUCAGUUGUUUGUGUGAGAGCAUUUCAGUAGUGUAUGUAAGAGGUAAUUCUGAAUAAUGUCCCUCACGGCCCCUCAUACAGGGGGUUUAGCUCGCUCAUCUGCGGGAACAAACUGCCGCCAUUGCUUGCCGUGCUACCGAGGUCCUUUGUCCCUGAAUUGCUCACACACUCCGGCAGAUUCAAUGGGGGUCUGGCGGCAGAUUUCUUUGACUUUAUCGUUGGAAAUGCAUCUGCUUUGAGUGUCGCAGGAUAUCCACACAUUCUUGCCAUCUCUGUCGUAGCAUAGCUUUCGUCGGUAAAGUGUGCGGAACAAACGUCCAAUUUCUUGCCACUUUCGCAUCUUUGGGCCACUGGUGUUGUUACACCCUCCGACAACACACCGACGAGGCAUGAUGUCUCCAAGGAAGUGGGCGGGAUGGAAGGAUCGUGGCUUCUCCCACUCGUCCUCGUCGUAGAGGACGGACAUGAGGAGGACAUAGAUGGCGGUCCCCUGAAGACAGACAAUGAGGUGAACGUUGAUGUCUUUUGUUGUGUUGUACUUUGUCAGACCUUCUUGAUGAAGUGACCCCGGAAGGUGACGUCCCGGCUAGUCCUGUGAGGAAGCGCCAUGGGGACGAUGUUAGCCACCCUUUGGGUUUCGUGGAUGACGGCGUCCGUAAAAGGCAGGUUCUUCCUGUCCUCCACCUGGACCUGCCGAUUCCCGAUUACGUUGUGCAGUUCCUCACGGACCUGCUCUGAGGUGGAACGUGUGUCUUCAGGGUGCUGGCAUAGAGGUGUGCGAGACACGAGGGCACAGCCUCUUACCUUGGAUGUUUGGAUACUUGGCCAUGAGGAGAAGAGCCCACCUCAGUGUGGUGGCUGUGGUGUCGGUACCGGCGGCAAAGAGGUUCUGGACCGUCCACAUUAAGUUUUCAUCAUGGAAGUGACUGUUGCUGCUGCCAGACUCCUGAAGACAAUCAAUCAGCAUCGAGAAUUUGGACUUUGGACCAUUAUGUGGUGUUGACGCACCUCCAGCUGUUGCUUGCGGACAAAGAAGGCAUCCACCAGGCUUCUGCACAUCAGCGGGUUGAGGCUUUUUUUCAAACGACUAAAUAUUUCCAGAUUCUUCCUGCUGUAGUCCUCGGUCAGUCUGAAAAAUUCCUUGUUCUGCUGCAGCCUCUUGCCCAGCCACGGGAACAUGUUGAAGACCUGAAGAGGACAUGUCCUUGUUGAAGAAGAUGAGGAUAUAGCGACAAGUAUGAGGAGAGGAGGCACCUGAGCUGACGGGGAGCCAGCAAGCUGGAUUUUCCGGUUCAUUCCAUCCACCAUGGCUGUGAACUCGGGGUCGUCAUAUUCGAACCUGCUUCCGUAAACGAUGGAGCAGAUGAUGUUUGAGACUGCAUAGUUGAUUGGCUGAGUGGUGUCAAAGGACUCUCCUGAAACAAUCAAGUACAGUCAAACCUGUUUAUAGCGGCCAACUCGUAUCAGUCCCUCUAAGAUUUUGCAAGAUUUUUUUGUGACUGCUUUGGCCUAAAAGGCUUAAAAAAGCUUUAUCAUUCAGUUGCAUCAAAACUUUGGAGGCUUUAAAUUUGAUCAACUAGCGAUUUUGUGAAUUUUUAACUUCAAAUUUUUUUACCUCAAAAAACACAUUGUUUCAACAAAAAAAAGAAAAACAAUUAGUGUAUUGAUGUUUUACUCAUUUUAUACCACACAGACUAAAAAGUAUACACUAGAUGGCAGUAAAAGCACAUUCUCAGAGCUCAUUGUCAUAUUACUGUAUGUUUUAUUUAAUUAUAACUAAUAAUAGUAAUAAUUCAUUAUAAUUACAGAAAGAAAACCCACCAAAAGUUUCCUUUUUGUCCACUGUCAGCUCUGUCAUCCACUCUUAAACAUUAAUUCAUGUUCCAAAACAUUUAACCCCGUACAUUAAGAGCAUUUGUGAACUGUUGAGAGCAACCUAUAGAGCUGAUUUAUGUUGGUAAAUGAGGGACGAUGAGAAAUUAUCAUCACAUUUCAACAUCUCUAACAUGUAAGUGUUGCCUCUUUGCUAGGUCAGCAUUGCAUCCAUCCAUCCAUUUUCUACCGCUUAUUCCCUUUGGGGUCGCGGGGGGCGCUGGAGCCUAUCUCAGCUACAAUCGGGCGGAAGGCGGGGUACACCCUGGACAAGUCGCCACCUCAUCGCAGGGCCAACACAGAUAGACAGACAACAUUCACACUCACAUCCACACACUAGGGCCAAUUUAGUGUUGCCAAUCAACUUAUCCCCAGAUGCAUGUCUUUAGAAGUGGGAGGAAGCCGGAGUACCCGGAGGGAACCCACGCAGUCACGGGGAGGACAUGCAAACUCCACACAGAAAGCAAAUUAAAAAAUAUGUUCUUAAUUGCCUUACCCUGGAUAAAUAAAUGUUAAAUAAAUAUAUAAAUACACGCAAACUAAAAAGUAAAUGUUUAUAUACUACAUUACUCAGAAGGCUUAGCGCUGUAGACAGAACGAGGAAAUAGGUCUGAGCUAUGCGAAAAGACAAUUGUGCCAUUUGGGCAAUAAAGAGUUGAUAUAUUGAUACAUGGUGUUGUUACUGUUUUGUCUACACAAGAAACAAACUUAAGUUUUCAUUAGACAGUUGACGUGUGUUUGAGCACCACUCAGAGAUAAAUGUGACUGGCCAGAAGUUGCGGGCAUUGGACUAAAGGUUACGAGACAGGGCAUAAUUUGCUUGAUAUUUUGUGUGAAUUGGCGUGACAUUGUGUCUUCCUGGUGGGAUUAUUUUGCAUUCCAAAAUAAAUGUUUUACUCCA